rnacentral:rRNA from 1 species
UCCUCAUGGCCUUAUGCUUAGGGCUACACACGUGCUACAAUGGGUGGUACAAAGAGAAGCCAACUCGCGAGAGCGCGCCAAUCUCAAAAAGCCAUCCUCAGUUCGGAUUGGAGUCUGCAACUCGACUCCAUGAAGUUGGAAUCGCUAGUAAUCGCGGAUCAGCAUGCCGCGGUGAAUACGUUCCCAGGCCUU